rnacentral:rRNA from 1 species
AUGAGUAACAGUGAACCUGAUAUCUGGAAUUUUAAAUGGGCCUCUGGACACUACAAUGCUAAGAAGGUCUACUUUGAAUAUUUGGGAUGCCCCGAGAAAGCUCCCAAGCCUUUCCAAUGGAUUUGGAAAUCUGGUUGCCUACCUAAACAAAAAAAAAAUUUCUGGCUCCUUCUUCUGGCCAGAUUAAACACCAGAGAUCUUCUCACCAGGAAAAGCUUCUACAUUGAGAGUUCCAUCUGUGUGUUAUGUGAUGAUGAGCCUAAUGAAUACAUGAAACAUCUAUUUUUUUGUGAUUUCAGCCAAAACUUUUGGUUAUCAAUUGGUUUUGAAUGGAACACUGAUUUGAGCUGCAAUGAUAUGCUUAUUGAAGCCAGAAACAGAACUCAGAUCCAGCCCUUUAAAGAAUGCCUAAUUGCCGGUUGUUGGACCAUCUGGAAACACAGAAACAGCAUCAUUUUUGACAACAAAGAAAGGGAUUUGAGCUACUGUAUUUCUUGUUUCAAGGAUCACUUUGGCACCAUCAUGAAAAGAGUCAGACCUAGUUUAAAGGAGGGAAUGCAAAGCUGGUUGGAUUAUUUGUAA